AUCCCGACUUACCAACCCGAUGCAAACUGCGAAUACCGGAGAAUGUUAUCACGGGAGACACACGGCGGGUGCUAACGUCCGUCGUGAAGAGGGAAACAACCCAGACCGCCAGCUAAGGUCCCAAAGUCAUGGUUAAGUGGGAAACGAUGUGGGAAGGCCCAGACAGCCAGGAUGUUGGCUUAGAAGCAGCCAUCAUUUAAAGAAAGCGUAAUAGCUCACUGGUCGAGUCGGCCUGCGCGGAAGAUGUAACGGGGCUAAACCAUGCACCGAAGCUGCGGCAGCGACGCUUAUGCGUUGUUGGGUAGGGGAGCGUUCUGUAAGCCUGCGAAGGUGUGCUGUGAGGCAUGCUGGAGGUAUCAGAAGUGCGAAUGCUGACAUAAGUAACGAUAAAGCGGGUGAAAAGCCCGCUCGCCGGAAGACCAAGGGUUCCUGUCCAACGUUAAUCGGGGCAGGGUGAGUCGACCCCUAAGGCGAGGCCGAAAGGCGUAGUCGAUGGGAAACAGGUUAAUAUUCCUGUACUUGGUGUUACUGCGAAGGGGGGACGGAGAAGGCUAUGUUGGCCGGGCGACGGUUGUCCCGGUUUAAGCGUGUAGGCUGGUUUUCCAGGCAAAUCCGGAAAAUCAAGGCUGAGGCGUGAUGACGAGGCACUACGGUGCUGAAGCAACAAAUGCCCUGCUUCCAGGAAAAGCCUCUAAGCAUCAGGUAACAUCAAAUCGUACCCCAAACCGACACAGGUGGUCAGGUAGAGAAUACCAAGGCGCUUGAGAGAACUCGGGUGAAGGAACUAGGCAAAAUGGUGCCGUAACUUCGGGAGAAGGCACGCUGAUAUGUAGGUGAAGUCCCUCGCGGAUGGAGCUGAAAUCAGUCGAAGAUACCAGCUGGCUGCAACUGUUUAUUAAAAACACAGCACUGUGCAAACACGAAAGUGGACGUAUACGGUGUGACGCCUGCCCGGUGCCGGAAGGUUAAUUGAUGGGGUUAGCGCAAGCGAAGCUCUUGAUCGAAGCCCCGGUAAACGGCGGCCGUAACUAUAACGGUCCUAAGGUAGCGAAAUUCCUUGUCGGGUAAGUUCCGACCUGCACGAAUGGCGUAAUGAUGGCCAGGCUGUCUCCACCCGAGACUCAGUGAAAUUGAACUCGCUGUGAAGAUGCAGUGUACCCGCGGCAAGACGGAAAGACCCCGUGAACCUUUACUAUAGCUUGACACUGAACAUUGAGCCUUGAUGUGUAGGAUAGGUGGGAGGCUUUGAAGUGUGGACGCCAGUCUGCAUGGAGCCGACCUUGAAAUACCACCCUUUAAUGUUUGAUGUUCUAACGUUGACCCGUAAUCCGGGUUGCGGACAGUGUCUGGUGGGUAGUUUGACUGGGGCGGUCUCCUCCUAAAGAGUAACGGAGGAGCACGAAGGUUGGCUAAUCCUGGUCGGACAUCAGGAGGUUAGUGCAAUGGCAUAAGCCAGCUUGACUGCGAGCGUGACGGCGCGAGCAGGUGCGAAAGCAGGUCAUAGUGAUCCGGUGGUUCUGAAUGGAAGGGCCAUCGCUCAACGGAUAAAAGGUACUCCGGGGAUAACAGGCUGAUACCGCCCAAGAGUUCAUAUCGACGGCGGUGUUUGGCACCUCGAUGUCGGCUCAUCACAUCCUGGGGCUGAAGUAGGUCCCAAGGGUAUGGCUGUUCGCCAUUUAAAGUGGUACGCGAGCUGGGUUUAGAACGUCGUGAGACAGUUCGGUCCCUAUCUGCCGUGGGCGCUGGAGAACUGAGGGGGGCUGCUCCUAGUACGAGAGGACCGGA
rnacentral:rRNA from 1 species